UACACGACUCUCGGCAACGGAUAUCUCGGCUCUCGCAUCGAUGAAGAACGUAGCGAAAUGCGAUACCUGGUGUGAAUUGCAGAAUCCCGUGAACCAUCGAGUCUUUGAACGCAAGUUGCGCCCGAGGCCAUCCGGCCGAGGGCACGCCUGCCUGGGCGUCACGC
rnacentral:rRNA from 1 species